rnacentral:lncRNA from 10 species
AGGCCUACAGCUGCCAUGCUCCAGUGCGGACAGACAAUCGGACGGGGUAAGCCGGGGCGGGCUGCUUUUCCCGCUGUCCUUGAGUGUUGAGUGGCUCUCUCGCUCUCACUCUCUCUUCUCCUGUCUCUCUGUCUCUCUCUCUGUCUCCCCCUGCCACCCCCACCACCCUCCCUGCCAGGAUCCCCCAGGGAUCGGGGAUGGAGGGCCUUCAAGGUCAGGAGGUGCGCUGAUGCCUGUCGGAAAAGGUGGCCGAGGAAGGACUCUCUAACGAGGUGCUGGGAUAUCCAUGGGAAGGGAGCUGGAGCUCUCAGGAAUCUUGUCUUUAUGUUUGCUUCCUCAAUUGAGCUGCACAAAGCCUGAAUUGCCCAUUCAGCGCAGCCGGACAAAAGGUUGGCGUUGCACGGUCCCCUUGCAUUUGUAGUCAAACAGUUAGGGACUUAAAUCGAGUCGUCAUGAUGGAGAAAGAGGUGGACAAAGCCCAUAGAAUUGCCAUCAGCAAACAUUUUCCUGUGUCAUAUUAGCCAGUUUCCAUGGCUCCCCCUGGCCUGCGGACAAUGGGACAAGUUUGCACACUUGGCUACUGUCACCGUGCCAACGCCGGCGGGGCUGCAAGCAGGGCCACUCUGAGCAAGCAAGGGAGCCCAGAGCCGCUGUUGGCCCUGCCCACCAACUGGCCAGAGGGAAGGCCUUCUGUGAUUUGUGGGGGCUGCAUCAUUCCUCUCUCCAGAAGAUCUUCUCUCUUCUAAGGGCAUCAAGACAUUUUAGAGCCACUCAGCUCAGCUCCCAGCUUCCUUGAGAUCCCACGGCACCUGCAGCCCUGCUGGCCCAUUCUGCACUGCCCGCUCAUGAAGCUGUCUCUCCUUUCUUAGCCAGUAGUAAGCCUCCCCACCAGGCCCGUGGACUCCGUGGGAGGUGAGCUCCAGAAGGGAAGGGAGUUCUUUCACAGCUUUCUGUCUCUGUAUCUCCUGUGACUUGAAUGGACUCAGCACACAGCAGGCCUGAGUGAAGGAUGCUUGUGGUUGCUAUGGCUUACAUGACAACGAAUUGUCUGUAAUCCUACAGGACUAUGGCACAUGAAAGCUGGAAGCGCUUCUUUCCGACUGCAUCGCCCAGCACCAGAGCCCGAGUUCUGUAAAGCUCUGUUAAAGGCACAUGAGCUGUGCUGGCUUCAACUGCCCUGAACUUGGAUAAGCUGGGCCGCUGAUGGACCCUUCCCAACCGGUUGUUGCUGCCUUGGUUUCCCGACAGUCCACUGUGCUGACCCUGCAGCAGGGACUCCCAGCUUUGCAUCAACUCCAUUCAACACCUACUGUGUGCAGGGACCAGAGGGUGUGGAGGUGGCAUUCCCUGCUUUAUCUUGAUAAGUAAACGUUUGUCUCCUGCCCACUCAUCAGUGAAGCAGAACAACUACCUAGCAGUCUCCUGGGAGCCACCCCUCCAGAACCUCUGGAUGUCAACAGACACCAUCUACUUAUAGGAUUCAGCCAGCACAUGUGUAGACUGGAGCUGCAAGUGAGAAGAGGCAUCUGGCAGGGCAUGCACAGGCCAAGCCUUAGGGACCCAAGGAGCUCAUCUGGGGCAGUGGGUUUUCAAAUUGCUUUGAAGCAGAGAUGCCCAUUUAAAAAUAUGUGGAGAUUCAGCCGGGCGCAGUGGCUCACGCCUGUAAUCCCAGCACUUUGGGAGGCCGACACGGAUGGAUCACCUGAGGUCAGGAGUUCGAGACCAGCCUGGCCAACAUGGUGAAACCCCGUCUCUACUAAAAACACAAAAAUUAGCUAGGUGUGGUGGCGGGUGCCUGUAAUCCCAGCUACUCGGGAGGCUGAGGCAGGAGAAUCAUUUGAACCCAGGAGGCAGAUGUUGCAGUGAGCUGAGAUUGUGCCAUUGCACUCCAGCCUGGGGGACAAGAGUGAGACUUCAUCUCAAAAAAAAAAAAUGUGGAGAUUCAACAUGUAAAACCAUGACAACUAUGGGCUAUGAGUACAAAUUUAUUUUCCAUGCUCAAAUGCAUACCUUCUACUUAUUUGCAAACAAUGCAUUAGAACAAGGAGUCUGUUCUGAUGAUAUAAAACUUUGAAAUCAGGAGAUAUGGAUUAUGGUCUCACAUCAGCCAUCAGCCAUACUUUGUUUUGGUUGCAGAACAUUUACAAAAUCUUGGUUUAGAGAGAGAAGCAGUUGAGAUGUCAACUUUCUAAAAAAGUUUAUCUUUUAAUUAAUUUAUUUUUUGAGAUAGAGUCUCGCUCUGUCACCCAGGCUCUAGUGCAAUGGUGCGAUCUCGGCUCACUGCAACCUCUGCUUCCCAGGUUCAAGUGAUUCUCCUGCCUCAGCCUCCUGAGUAGCUGGGAUUACAGACGUGUGCC